rnacentral:rRNA from 1 species
GGAAGACUGCCCUAUGGGUUGUAAACCUCUUUUAUAAGGGAAGAAUAAGUUCUACGUGUAGAAUGAUGCCUGUACCUUAUGAAUAAGCAUCGGCUAACUCCGUGCCAGCAGCCGCGGUAAUACGGAGGAUGCGAGCGUUAUCCGGAUUUAUUGGGUUUAAAGGGUGCGUAGGCGGUUUAUUAAGUUAGUGGUUAAAUAUUUGAGCUAAACUCAAUUGUGCCAUUAAUACUGGUAAACUGGAGUACAGACGAGGUAGGCGGAAUAAGUUAAGUAGCGGUGAAAUGCAUAGAUAUAACUUAGAACUCCGAUAGCGAAGGCAGCUUACCAGACUGUAACUGACGCUGAUGCACGAGAGCGUGGGUAGCGAACAGGAUUAGAUACCCUGGUAGUCCACGCCGUAAACGAUGCUCACUGGUUCUGUGCGAUAUAUUGUACGGGAUUAAGCGAAAGUAUUAAGUGAGCCACCUGGGGAGUACGUCGGCAACGAUGAAACUCAAAGGAAUUGACGGGGGCCCGCACAAGCGGAGGAACAUGUGGUUUAAUUCGAUGAUACGCGAGGAACCUUACCUGGGUUUAAAUGGGAAAUGUCUUAUUUGGAAACAGAUAUUCUCUUCGGAGCGUUUUUCAAGGUGCUGCAUGGUUGUCGUCAGCUCGUGCCGUGAGGUGUCGGGUUAAGUCCCAUAACGAGCGCAACCCUUACCGUUAGUUGCUAGCAUGUAAUGAUGAGCACUCUAACGGGACUGCCACCGUAAGGUGAGAGGAAGGCGGGGAUGACGUCAAAUCAGCACGGCCCUUACACCCAGGGCUACACACGUGUUACAAUGGCCGGUACAGAGGGCCGCUACCAGGUGACUGGAUGCCAAUCUCAAAAGCCGGUCGUAGUUCGGAUUGGAGUCUGUAACCCGACUCCAUGAAGUUGGAUUCGCUAGUAAUCGCGCAUCAGCCAU